GACGAACGCUGGCGGCGUGCUUAACACAUGCAAGUCGAACGGAAAGGCCCUGCUUUUGUGGGGUGCUCGAGUGGCGAACGGGUGAGUAACACGUGAGUAACCUGCCCUUGACUUUGGGAUAACUUCAGGAAACUGGGGCUAAUACCGGAUAGGAGCUCCUGCUGCAUGGUGGGGGUUGGAAAGUUUCGGCGGUUGGGGAUGGACUCGCGGCUUAUCAGCUUGUUGGUGGGGUAGUGGCUUACCAAGGCUUUGACGGGUAGCCGGCCUGAGAGGGUGACCGGCCACAUUGGGACUGAGAUACGGCCCAGACUCCUACGGGAGGCAGCAGUGGGGAAUAUUGCACAAUGGGCGGAAGCCUGAUGCAGCAACGCCGCGUGCGGGAUGACGGCCUUCGGGUUGUAAACCGCUUUCGCCUGUGACGAAGCGUGCGUGACGGUAAUGGGUAAAGAAGCAACGGCUAACUACGUG
rnacentral:rRNA from 1 species